rnacentral:rRNA from 1 species
GAUGAACGCUAGCGGCAGGCCUAACACAUGCAAGUCGAGGGAGAAGCCCUUUCGGGGGCAGAAACCGGCGCACGGGUGCGUAACGCGUAUGCAACCUACCUUUCACAGGGGGAUAGCCCGAAGAAAUUUGGAUUAAUACCCCAUAAUAUUGUUGGAUGGCAUCAUCCGGCAAUUAAAACUGAGGUGGUGAAAGAUGGGCAUGCGUCCUAUUAGCUAGUUGGAGUGGUAACGGCACCCCAAGGCUACGAUAGGUAGGGGUCCUGAGAGGGAGAUCCCCCACACUGGUACUGAGACAGGGACCAGACUCCUACGGGAGGCAGCAGUGAGGAAUAUUGGUCAAUGGUCGGAAGACUGAACCAGCCAUGCCGCGCGCAGGAAGAAUGCCUUAUGGGUUGUAAACUGCUUUUAUAUGGGAAGAAUAAGGCGUACGUGUACGUUGAUGACGGUACCAUAUGAAUAAGC